rnacentral:rRNA from 1 species
GACGAACGCUGGCGGCGUGCCUAAUACAUGCAAGUAGAACGCACAGUUUAUACCGUAGCUUGCUACACCAUAGACUGUGAGUUGCGAGCGGGUGAGUAACGCGUAGGUAACCUGCCUGGUAGCGGGGGAUAACUAUUGGAAACGAUAGCUAAUACCGCAUAAUAUUGAUUAUUGCAUGAUAAUUGAUUGAAAGAUGCUAUUGCAUCACUACCAGAUGGACCUGCGUUGUAUUAGCUAGUAGGUGAGGUAACGGCUCACCUAGGCGACGAUACAUAGCCGACCUGAGAGGGUGAUCGGCCACACUGGGACUGAGACACGGCCCAGACUCCUACGGGAGGCAGCAGUAGGGAAUCUUCGGCAAUGGACGAAAGUCUGACCGAGCAACGCCGCGUGAGUGAAGAAGGUUUUCGGAUCGUAAAGCUCUGUUGUAAGAGAAGAACGGGUGUGAGAGUGGAAAGUUCACACUGUGACGGUAUCCUACCAGAAAGGGACGGCUAACUACGUG